GGAAUGCAGACUCAGUUUUUCAGUUCUGGUCCAGAUGGAAUAUCCCGGCUCACAGAUGGCUAGACAGACACGUCUACAAGCCCUUACUGCAUCACGGUUAUGACAAGUGGCAGGCCCGACUGGCUGUGUUUCUACUCUCUGCAUGUUUCUUCGAGUAUCUAAUCGCCAUCCCAUUGAAGAUGUUCCGGUUUUGGAUGUUUAUUGUUAUGCUCUCUCAG